rnacentral:rRNA from 1 species
CCUACGGGGUGCACCAGUGGGGAAUAUUGCACAAUGGGCGCAAGCCUGAUGCAGCCAUGCCGCGUGUGUGAAGAAGGCCUUCGGGUUGUAAAGCACUUUCAGCGGGGAGGAAGGCGCCAAGGUUAAUAACCUUGGCGAUUGACGUUACCCGCAGAAGAAGCACCGGCUAACUCCGUGCCAGCAGCCGCGGUAAUACGGAGGGUGCAAGCGUUAAUCGGAAAUACUGGGCGUAAAGCGCACGCAGGCGGUCUGUCAAGUCGGAUGUGAAAUCCCCGGGCUCAACCUGGGAACUGCAUUCGAACCUGGCAGGCUAGAGUCUUGUAGAGGGGGGUAGAAUUCCAGGUGUAGCGGUGAAAUGCGUAGAGAUCUGGAGGAAUAUCGGUGGCGAAGGCGGCCCCCUGGACAAAGACUGACGCUCAGGUGCGAAAGCGUGGGGAGCAAACAGGAUUAGAUACCCGAGUAGUC